GCCGCUGUGAGACCUGUGAAACCUGCUGUUGCCUAACAUCUUGGGCCUUAGACCAGGAAAUUGAUGUCACAAUCAAAAGAUGGCUACAUCUACAUCACUGCAGGACCGUCAUUCAUUGAGGCAGCGCCGACCUUUGGCUGGCCGGGAACGUGCCGCAACUUUCAUUAUUAGCACCCCCCUACCCCCGCCCUCCCGUCGGCCCCGUAAAAAACACGGCGUGACAAAAGCGAUACCUUCCGACGACGAGGAUAAAUUAGAACAAGUGAUGUCCGUCAGAGAUGAUCCGACAACUGACAUUUUAAGCCUCCCCAGCGGACUGGCUGGAACUGGAAACAUUUGAUUUUCAUUUGUUAUUGCCGCUCCUCCCCCCAAUUUCCUUUUCAUUGUCCUCGGAAAUUGACGUAGAAAGAGUGCGAUGGAGGCCAAUCAAAACUCGACUGCAGUCUGGUAGGACUUUUGACAGGUGGGACUGAAAGUGUCUGCUCUGUGCUCUGAUAUUGACGUGUAAUUUGAAUUUUAAUCUUGCGACGCAAUUAAGUCCAACGAUAAAGAUGUAUCCUUAAAAUGAGCCAGUCUUGCGUGUGUGUGCAUUUGUCUGGGGUUUUUUUCAACAUUUUCUUUCGGGGCACAUUUAUUGACUCAACUGCCGGCGGCAACUGGAUUUUUGGCUCAUGUAUUUUGCCAUCCGUCUAUCUGAACGUCUGAUCCCAUCAAGGGUCGCGAAGAAUGUUUAAUAUUUGUUGCGACAAAAUUAUUGCAAUUAUACACACAAUAAUGUAGUCAUGUACUAUUGGCGCUGUCCAACAAAAAGCAUCUUGUAUCAACAUGUUUGCUUUUCGACCGGUGACGGGUAGACAGACACUUUGGCCCAACGUAGCCCAUGAAAGGUGUUUUAACAAUACCCGGUCACUGAAGGAUGUUGCCAAGUGUUAGGAAACUCGAAAAGACAAGAAGACAUUUUAAUAUUUGAUGUAAGCUUUACUUUCAAUCCUGUUACAUUUAGAUCCGGCAUGUUGAACAUAAUACCAACGGAACAAAUACAAAAAAACAAACAAAAAAAAGUACAAAUGAUCUAUUUACCAGUUCUCGUCACAACCCUGUACAGCCUUAACCACGGAGUAAUAAUAAUAAUCAUCAUCAUCAUAUAAAAAAAAGCUUUGUACAGCAUAUACCAAUUGUUACCAAAGCAGAUGCGGCGGGUUGAGCCUUUUCCCCCCUCUCAAUCGUAAAAACGCCAAUAUCAAGGAAACGAGUGCUAAGAUACCAAGGAACUAAAUGUUGAGGUCAUGCCAACAGUGGGGAGUGCAAAGUGUUUAUACCAAAAUUGAUGAAUUGAUGACAUUAGAAAUCCUCAAAGAAACUAUUUUUAUUGUGUGUGUGUGGGGGGGGGGGGUCUUGAUUGAAUUGCAAUUAGCAUCUAUUUAAAAAAUAAAAAAGACACUGAUGGUGGGAGACAGAGACAAAACAAAUCAGGACGUGACGGAUUGCAUCCUAACAUCACGUCCCGCGGCUACGUACGUUUUGGUCGAACACAAUUCUCCCGUCCAAGCUGGCACAAUUUAAUUUCGAAAAUAAUUUUUUAAAAAGGAUUUCAAAACGCAUUUGUGUCAUGGACAAAAAAAAAAGUAGACUUUAAGUACCUUGACAAACAAGGGAUUCAGGCUCUGAAGGCCACAUGAUGCUGUUCAGUGAGAAACAUGUAACUCCACAUUUUAGGAUAUUUAGUGUGUGUGCGUGUGUGUGUGUGUGUUAGAGAGGAGCUUUUCUUCCCUCUGAAUUUAGAACACGUUUGUCCAUUUUGGGAAGGAAAAAAAACAAAAAAAUAAAA